CCUACGGGAGGCAGCAGUGGGGAAUAUUGGACAAUGGGGGGAACCCUGAUCCAGCGACGCCGCGUGAGUGAAGAAGUAUCUCGGUAUGUAAAGCCCUAUCAGCAGGGAAGAAAAUGACGGUACCUGACUAAGAAGCCCCGGCUAACUACGUGCCAGCAGCCGCGGGAACACGUAGGGGGCAAGCGUUAUCCGGAUUUACUGGGUGUAAAGGGAGCGUAGACGGUGCAGCAAGUCUGGUGUGAAAGGUCGGGGCCCAACCCCGGGACUGCAUUGGAAACUGUUGAACUGGAGUACAGGAGAGGUAAGCGGAAUUCCUAGUGUAGCGGUGAAAUGCGUAGAUAUUAGGAGGAACACCAGUGGCGAAGGCGUCAUACUGGACUGUAACUGACGUUGAGGCUCGAAAGCGUGGGGAGCGAACAGGAUUAGAUACCCCUGUAGUC
rnacentral:rRNA from 1 species